rnacentral:rRNA from 1 species
AGUGAACGCUGGCGGUAGGCCUAACACAUGCAAGUCGAACGGCAGCACAGUAAGAGCUUGCUCUUACGGGUGGCGAGUGGCGGACGGGUGAGGAAUACAUCGGAAUCUACUUUUUCGUGGGGGAUAACGUAGGGAAACUUACGCUAAUACCGCAUACGACCUACGGGUGAAAGCAGGGGAUCUUCGGACCUUGCGCGAUUGAAUGAGCCGAUGUCGGAUUAGCUAGUUGGCGGGGUAAAGGCCCACCAAGGCGACGAUCCGUAGCUGGUCUGAGAGGAUGAUCAGCCACAAUGGAACGGGACAACGGUCCAGACUCCUACGGGAGGCAGCAGUGGGGAAUAUUGGAAAAUGGACGCAAGCCUAAUCCAGCCAUACCGCGUGGGUGAAGAAGGCCUUCGGGUUGUAAAGCCCUUUUGUUGGGAAAGAAAAGCAGCAGGUUAAUACCCCGCUGUUCUGACGGUACCCAAAGAAUAAGCACCGGCUAACUUCGUG